rnacentral:rRNA from 1 species
CCUACGGGCGGCAGCAGUGGGGAAUAUUGGACAAUGGGGGUAACCCUGAUCCAGCGACGCCGCGUGAGUGAAGACGUAUUUCGGUAUGUAAAGCUCUAUCAGCAGGGGAGAAAAUGACGGUACCUGACUAAGAAGCCCCGGCGAACUACGUGCCAGCAGCCGCGGUAAUACGGAGGGGGCAAGCGUUAUCCGGAUUUACUGGGUGUAAAGGGAGCGUAGUCGGUGCAGCAAGUCAGAUGUGAAAGGUAGGGGCCCAACCGCAGGACUGCAGUGGAAACUGUUGAACUGGAGUACAGGAGAGGUAAGCGGAAUUCGUAGUGUAGCGGUGAAAUGCGUAGAUAUUAGGAGGAACACCAGUGGCGAAGGCGGUUUACUGGACUGUAACUGACGUUGAGGCUCGAAAGCGUGGGGAGCAAACAGGAUUAGAUACCCGAGUAGUC